GUUGAAGAGUGGUAGUAAAACCUGUCUGUGGACACGGCGCACACACUGAGGCUUUUUUUUCGGAGUUACUUACUUUCCCGUACUGAAAGUGCUCUUUGUGCGAGUGAUGAACCCAUUCAUGUCCCAAAGUCUCGCACCUUCAAGGGAAACUUUCUAUGUGCAGAUUGACCGCUAUCACCAUUCGUGCUUUCAAAGAGUUUUGCUAAAAGAUGACCCUGCUAAUUCCCUAUUCCCUUCUAAAUGAGACUGAUGCAUGAACAGCAGAGAGGAGAACGUGCUUGUUCCAGCUGCUGUGGGACGCGAGAGGAGAACGUUUUCUGCUCCAGGCCUGUUCGCACCGGCUGCCUUCGUGCUGAGCGCGCGGGGCAGAGGGCCGCGGCGGGCGCAAGUACCGCAGCGCAACGGGACCCCGACACAACGUGCUGAGCUGUUACCUGACCUGGCUGCAGAGCUGCGCGCGAGAAGCGAAGCCCUGAAGGAAUCGUGGUCGGCUCUGCCCUGCGUGGCGGCGAGGAGCCGCCCAAAGGACGCGUGGGCUCGUCACACGGGUUGGCUUACCGCAUCCGUCGUCGUCUCGGCUAGGACGCGCGUGCCGGUGGAAGCUCGGGGGCCACCUGCAAUAGAAAAAGGCAUGAAAACACUCCACGGUCCCAGGUAUGGCUGUGUGUGAAGAAACACUCCUGCCGGCUUCCUGCUGUGUCUCAUGGAAAUGAGAGCAGGUUUCCCUCAAACCCACAUCGUGCCCCCCCUUGAACCAACGGCACGACUGCCACCGAGGUCGGUCCGUUCAGGGCCAAACCUUGUUUUGGCCGUGUUUAAUUUUGGCACGUAGGUGUGCGGCAGGAGGAAGCCCCUUCUCGUCCUCCUGCACCUCUCCUGCGGCCUGCGUGCGGGCACCUUUGCACGCAUGGGUAUAGGUCACGCCGUGUUGCAUACGUAUAAAUAUUUUAACCGCAUCUGCUGAUUUAUAGCCAAGACUCCUAAAACAAAAGUUACGUUUUUAAGAAUCUGUUGAAUCUCAGCCAAGCUAUAGAGAUUAAAACGGAUAAAGACUCUUAGGAAUGUAAACAGCAUACAGAAAUCCUAAUCCGUGUGGCACAAUUUUGUUCCAAAAAAUUAUUCUAGACUGAGAUGGUAAAUCACACUCAGCUUCUGCGUGUCCCUUGUCUGGGAACCCAUAUGUUUAUAUAUAUAUACACACACGCAUAUAUUUUUUUAUAUAUAUAUAUGUGCAUGCACGCACACACACACACACACACAUAUCCCAUAUAUAUUAAUUACCUUCUAUUAUGAAAGUUCCUCGCAGUGGUAACAUCUGCCUGAUUUUUGAGGCACUACAUAGGAGGUUAAUGUUUCCAUUAUGGCAGUUUUCAACGCCACCAGAUCAACUGGCCUGUCAGGUGGAAUAUCUGCAGCCGUCUGCGUUGGAAAGGCAAACUGCUAAAAAUAGAAGCCAUUUAGGAGAGUUCAGACACCUGGUUGUUCAUUUUUGGGACAUUUUUCUUAAGUAUUUUUGAUUUGUGUGAUUUUCUUUAACACUUGGUGAACUCCAUGCUGCAAACCCUUCUUUUACAGCAGUGCCGUUAAUUUCCCUGGGAAUGGGAAGAGACUCUGUCUUUAAUGUCCGUUGUAGGGGCAUUUUAACAUGUUUGUACCCGUAUUUUCAAACAAGAUACACACGUACCAAAAGCUUGUUUAAGAAAUAAGCUCGUAGAAAGGAGCCUUUUAUCACUUAAUUGUUUUACAUUGUUUGGCAUUUAAAGAAAGCUAUUUUGUGUAACUGGCUCUCUAACUUAGGAUUUUGUAACUAGCUGCAGUGGUUCUUAGGAGGGACUGGGAAGUCAGCUUUAAUAUAAUUUUAGUAUGUAUAAAACAUCUUGUUAUUUUUUAAAUAAAAUGUUUCAAAUAACCA
ensembl:lncRNA